rnacentral:rRNA from 1 species
UACGGGGGGGGCAAGCGUUGUUCGGAAUUACUGGGCGUAAAGGGCUCGUAGGCGGCCAACUAAGUCGGAUGUGAAAUCCCCAGGCUCAACCUGGGAACUGCAUCCGAUACUGGAUGGCUUGAAUUCGGGAGAGGGAUGCAGAAUUCCAGGUGUAGCGGUGAAAUGCGUAGAUAUCUGGAGGAAUACCGGUGGCGAAGGCGGCAUCCUGGACCGACAUUGACGCUGAACGGCGAAAGCUAGGGGAGCAAACGGG